rnacentral:lncRNA from 1 species
AAACAAAUAAAAUAAAAUCUUUAAAAAAGAGAGAGAGAGAACACAAGGGUGGGACUGAGAUUGUAUAAAUUGAAUACAGCCAGUUUGAAUGGAAGGGGAUGGAGAUGGGACAAAGUAAAGAAAGGCCGUCAGACUUGUUAGAUCCUAUAGGAUUGAGCCAUAGUGUUAUUAGGAUGUAAACUUACACCUUUCUUCAAGAAAGGGGAAGAAGGACCCCCGAAAGGCAAUUAAUUCAGAGAUCAUCCGGGCCACCAUUUUGGUUUUAACAGAUUGGAUAGGCCUCAACCAAAGUCUUGGAGAUGAGUCCAUCCUGCAAAGCCAUGGAACCAGAGAGCUCACAGCCUGGGGGUUGUAACGCAACCCAGCAGAGCCACAGAAGUGGGACAACUGCCCCCUCUGAACCAAAGAGGAUUGAUGAUUCUUGAACUUUAACAUCUAAUGAAAUUUGCCUUACUAGAUAUUGGACUUGCUGGGGACCCAUCUCCCUUUCCUUGUAUUUCUCCCUUUUGGAAUAGUAGUGUUUAUCGUAAACCUGUCCCACCAUGGUAUGGUGGAAGCACAUUAACCAGCUGUCUGGUUUCACAGGUUCACAGUUGAAAAACAAUUUUGCUUCAGGAUGAAUUAUACCUCCAGUUCUCACCCAUAUCUGAUUUUGAUGAUAUUGAGAUGACAUUCUGGAUUUAGGCUGUAGGGUUAAUCCCGGAACAAAUUAUGAUUUGGGGGGCUGUUGGGAUGGGAUGGAUGCAUUUUGCAUGUGUGAGGGAGAUAAAUGUGGGGGAGCCUGAAGUGUGAUGUUAUUGACUGAAUGCGCUCCCUCCUGUGUUUAAGCCCAAGCCCAGUGUUAUUUGGAGAUGGGGCUUUGGGAGGUAAUUGGGGUUAUGUAAGUAAUGAGAAUGGGCCUUCAUGACAGGAUUAGUGACUUCUAAUAGAAGAAGCACUCUCUCAAUACUUCUCUCUCACUCACCCCUCCUUUUUUCCCCUUAUCUCUUUCUUCCUUUCUCUAUCCCUCUCUGUGCAAGCACCAACGACAGGCCCUUUCUUGUCAGGACAUAGCAAGAGGGCAGCCAUCUGCAAGCCCAGGACGAGAACUCUCACUAGCAACCAAAUCUGCUGGCAUGCUGAUCUGCGGCUUCUCAUCCUCCAAAACUACGAGAAAAUAAAUCUCUGUUGUUUAAGCCACGCAGUCUAUGGUAUUAUGUUAUGGCAGCCAGAGCUCUCUAAGAUAGGAACCUGCUACCUCCACUGUUCCAGGACUUGGCUGCUUUCCAGAAGUGCUUAAGUAAACCUCUCUACAACAUCAAUUUUUUCAAAGUAUAUUCCAGCAGCUUCAAUUAAAAAAAAUGUUUUUGAAACACUGCAUACCAUGUGCCCCUCUUAUAUAUGAUGAAGGUAAAUAUCAGGGUGUUAAAGUCUGAAAAAUCUUAUCUGUUUAAUUUUAGUUUCCAAAUUUAUUUUAUUUGACCAUAGAAUCCCAUAACUUUCCAUGUCUUGUUUUUCCCUUCCCAUCCCUUCCCUUACUUCUUCCUAAAACAUAACACCUGUAAGUAUUCUGCUUAAAGAAUUUCAUGGAGCAAAAUUUAGUAAGAUCUAUUCCAAAACUUUCUAGUGAUGAUUACUCUUGAUCAUAUUUUGCUUUUCCUAAGAGUUGAUUCUGUAUACCUAGAUUAUUUGGUAUA